AUACUUACCUGGCAGGGGAGAUACCAUGAUCAAGAAGGUGGUUCACCCAGGGCGCAGGCUCAGCUAUUGCACUCGUUGUGUUGACUCUCUGCGACUCAAAUGUGGGGAAUUCGAUUGCACAAUUCUGAUAGUGGGGGGACGCGUCAAGGCUCUCCCCUG